GGCUUCGGCCGAAACGCGCCAUUUGAAUUUGUGACGAGAAAACCGUACCGGCCCGUACCGUAUACCGACACAGGUAGGUGAGUCGAAUAGACUAAGGAGCGCGAGAGAAAUCUCUCCAAGGAACUCGGCAAAUUAGCCCCGUAACUUCGGGAGAAGGGGUGCCCACUUCGGUGGGCCACAGUAAAUUGGGACUGGCGACUGUUUACCAAAAACACAGCUCUCUGCUAAGUCGUGAAGACGACGUAUAGGGAGUGACACGUGACCAAUGCGGAAAGAUUAAGGUGACUUGUUAGCACUUGAUGCGAAGCUCGGAGCCCAAGUCCCCGUGAAUGUCGGCCGUAACUAUAACGGUCCUAAGGUAGCGAAAUUCCUUGUCGGGUAAGUUCCGACCUGCACGAAUCGUGCAACGACCGGUCCGCUGUCUCGGAGAGAAUCUCGGCGAAGUUGUAAUUGCGGUGAAGAUGCCGCAUACCCGCAGUAGGACGGAAAGACCCUGUGCACCUUUACUGUAAGCAAGUAUUGUGUUCUGAUUAGUGAUACGUAGAGUAGGUGGGAGACUUUGAAGUGAUGGCUUAGGUUGUCAUGGAGUCACAAUGUGAAACACCACUUUUUAUUAAUUAGGAUUCUAACACUGAUUCCUCUGAAGCGAGGCAGUGGACAGUGCUUGCGGGUCAGUUUGACUGGGGCGGUUUCCUCCCAAAGAGUAACGGAGGAGCACUAAGGUACCUUCAGCAUGGUUAGCAACCAUGCGUAGAGCGUAUGCGUAGAAGGGUGCUUGACUGCGAGACCAACAAGUCGAGCAGGUACGAAAGUAGGUGCAAAUGAUCCGGUGGUAGAAAGUGGAAUUGCCAUCGCUCAACGGACAAAAGGUACGCCAGGGAUAACAGGCUGAUCGCGCCCAAGAGUUCAUAUCGACGGCGCGGUUUGGCACCUCGAUGUCGGCUCGUCACAUCCUGGGGCUGAAGAAGGUCCCAAGGGUUCGGCUGUUCGCCGAUUAAAGUGGCACGCGAGCUGGGUUCAGAACGUCGUGAGACAGUUCGGUCCUUAUCCACUGUGGGCGCAGGAAACUUGAGGGGUUCAAUCCCCAGUACGAGAGGACCGGGAUUGACGUACCUAUGGUGUGGCAGUUGUUCCAUCAGGGGCAGCGCUGCGUAGCCAAGUACGGAAGAGAUAAGCGCUGAAAGCAUCUAAGUGCCAAGCUCAUCCCAAGAUGAGGUUUCCCACUCCCCGUGAGUGUAAGACCCCCGGUAGACUACCGGGUUGAUAGGCCAGGAGUGUAAGUGUGGUAACACAUUCAGCUGACUGGUACUAAUCGGUCGAGGGCUUGAUUAC
rnacentral:rRNA from 1 species